UAUUGCACAAUGGGGGGAACCCUGAUGCAGCGACGCCGCGUGGGCGAUGGAGUGCUUCGGCAUGUAAAGCUCUAUCAGCAGGGAAGAAAAUGACGGUACCUGACUAAGAAGCCCCGGCUAACUACGUGCCAGCAGCCGCGGUAAUACGUAGGGGGCAAGCGUUAUCCGGAUUUACUGGGUGUAAAGGGAGCGUAGACGGCUGUGCAAGCCAGAUGUGAAAGCCCGGGGCUCAACCCCGGGACUGCAUUUGGAACUGUGUGGCUGGAGUGUCGGAGAGGCAGGCGGAAUUCCUAGUGUAGCGGUGAAAUGCGUAGAUAUUAGGAGGAACACCAGUGACGAAGGCGGCUUGCUGGACGAUGACUGACGUUGAGGCUCGAAAGCGUGGGGAGCAAACAGG
rnacentral:rRNA from 1 species